rnacentral:rRNA from 1 species
AACGAACGCUGGCGGCAGGCUUAACACAUGCAAGUCGAGCGGGCGUAGCAAUACGUCAGCGGCAGACGGGUGAGUAACGCGUGGGAACAUACCUUUUGGUUCGGAACAACUGAGGGAAACUUCAGCUAAUACCGAAUAAGCCCUUACGGGAAAGAUUAUCGCCGAAAGAUUGGCCCGCGUCUGAUUAGCUAGUUGGUGGAGGUAACGGCUCACCAAGGCGACGAUCAGUAGCNGGUCUGAGAGGAUGAUCAGCCACAUUGGGACUGAGACACGGCCCAAACUCCUACGGGAGGCAGCAGGUGGGGAAUAUUGGACAAUGGGCGCAAGCCUGAUCCAGCCAUGCCGCGUGAGUGAUGAA